GACGAACUUUGGCGGCGUGCUUAACACAUGCAAGUCGAACGGAAAGGCCCUGCUUUUGUGGGGUGCUCGAGUGGCGAACGGGUGAGUAACACGUGAGUAACCUGCCCUUGACUUUGGGAUAACUUCAGGAAACUGGGGCUAAUACCGGAUAGGAGCUCCUGCUGCAUGGUGGGGGUUGGAAAGUUUCGGCGGUUGGGGAUGGACUCGCGGCUUAUCAGCUUGUUGGUGGGGUAGUGGCUUACCAAGGCUUUGACGGGUAGCCGGCCUGAGAGGGUGACCGGCCACAUUGGGACUGAGAUACGGCCCAUACUCCUACGGGAGGCAGCAGUGGGGAAUAUUGCACAAUGGGCGGAAGCCUGAUGCAGCAACGCCGCGUGCGGGAUGACGGCCUUCGGGUUGUAAACCGCUUUCGCCUGUGACGAAGCGUGAGUGACGGUAAUGGGUAAAGAAGCACCGGCUAACUACGUGCCAGCAGCCGCGGUGAUACGUAGGGUGCGAGCGUUGUCCGGAUUUAUUGGGCGUAAAGGGCUCGUAGGUGGUUGAUCGCGUCGGAAGUGUAAUCUUGGGGCUUAACCCUGAGCGUGCUUUCGAUACGGGUUGACUUGAGGAAAGGUAGGGGAGAAUGGAAUUCCUGGUGGAGCGGUGGAAUGCGCAGAUAUCAGGAGGAACACCAGUGGCGAAGGCGGUUCUCUGGGCCUUUCCUGACGCUGAGGAGCGAAAGCGUGGGGAGCGAACAGGCUUAGAUACCCUGGUAGUCCACGCUGUAAACGGUGGGUACUAGGUGUGGGGUCCAUUCCACGGGUUCCGUGCCGUAGCUAACGCUUUAAGUACCCCGCCUGGGGAGUACGGCCGCAAGGCUAAAACUCAAAGGAAUUGACGGGGCCCCGCACAAGCGGCGGAGCAUGCGGAUUAAUUCGAUGCAACGCGUAGAACCUUACCUGGGUUUGACAUGGAUCGGGAGUGCUCAGAGAUGGGUGUGCCUCUUUUGGGGUCGGUUCACAGGUGGUGCAUGCCUGUCGUCAGCUCGUGUCGUGAGAUGUUGGGUUAAGUCCCGCAACGAGCGCAACCCUUGUUCACUGUUGCCAGCACGUUAUGGUGGGGACUCAGUGGAGACCGCCGGGGUCAACUCGGAGGAAGGUGGGGAUGACGUCAAGUCCUCAUGCCCCUUAUGUCCAGGGCUUCACGCAUGCUACAAUGGCUGGUACAGAGAGUGGCGAGCCUGUGAGGGUGAGCGAAUCUCGGAAAGCCGGUCUCAGUUCGGGUUGGGGUCUGCAACUCGACCUCAUGAAGUCGGAGUCGCUAGUAAUCGCAGAUCAGCAACGCUGCGGUGAAUACGUUCCCGGGGCU
rnacentral:rRNA from 1 species